GAUGAACGCUGGCGGCGUGCCUAAUACAUGCAAGUCGAGCGAACAGACGAGGAGCUUGCUCCUCUGACGUUAGCGGCGGACGGGUGAGCAACACGUGGAUAACCUACCUAUAAGACUGGGAUAACUUCGGGAAACCGGAGCUAAUACCGGAUAAUAUAUUGAACCGCAUGGUUCAAUAGUGAAAGACGGUUUUGCUGUCACUUAUAGAUGGAUCCGCGCCGCAUUAGCUAGUUGGUAAGGUAACGGCUUACCAAGGCAACGAUGCGUAGCCGACCUGAGAGGGUGAUCGGCCACACUGGAACUGAGACACGGUCCAGACUCCUACGGGAGGCAGCAGUAGGGAAUCUUCCGCAAAGGGCGAAAGCCUGACGGAGCAACGCCGCGUGAGUGAUGAAGGUCUUCGGAUCGUAAAACUCUGUUAUUAGGGAAGAACAAAUGUGUAAGUAACUAUGCACGUCUUGACGGUACCUAAUCAGAAAGCCACGGCUAACUACGUG
rnacentral:rRNA from 1 species